AAAAGCUCUAACAUCAUCUCAACAAAUUACAGUAUCUGAAGCAAAUCGAGGGAAGAAGACGAUAAUGGAAGCCGCGAAAUUGUUGAAGGCGAAGGGACAGAGCCAGAGGAUCGUGGUUGCUGUGGACGAGAGUGAAGAGAGUAUGUACGCCUUGCAAUGGUGUCUCUCAAAUCUCACUUCUCCAGACACCAAAAACACUCUGAUUCUCCUCUACGUUAAGCCUUCUCCCGCCAUCUCCCUCUCCUCCUUCGAUGCGCCUGGCUAUGUGUUUUCGAGCGAGGUGAUUUCGGCGAUGGAAAAGCAGAGUAAGGAUUUGGUUAGCGGGGUGAUGAAGAGAGCGGAAGAGGUUUAUGCGAAGUUUAGUACAAAUGUAAUGGAUGAAGCAUCUCUGAUUUGUGAUUUGUGAUGUGUGUAUGUUUGAUUUUAGAGUAAUUUUUGUGAGCGGCAUUUUGUCGAACACUUGGUGUGUGUUGCAGGUAAAUUUGGAGAGAGUAGUGGGAAGGGGAGAUGCGAAGAACGUAAUAUGUCGCACAGUGGAGAAGCUUGGAGCCGAUACCUUGGUAAUGGGAUGCCAUGGUUAUGGCUUCUUCCAGAGGGCUUUGCUUGGGAGUGUGAGCGAUUACUGUGCGAAAUAUGCGAAAUGUCCUGUGGUUAUUGUGAAGCAUCCUUAAGAUUCCAAAGAAACAAAGUAAUUAAAGCCCUUAAUUCAGAUGUAAUAUUCUAUGGUUUACGUUAAUGGAAGUUAGGUGUUGCAUCUCUUUAAGUUUCGAGGAAGAUGAAGUAAGGCUUCCAUUUAUUUUGCAAUCCUUGAAAUAUUAGGUAGUUCAAAUUCAAGUCUAAAAUGAUUUUGGAUAUGACUUUUACUACAG
rnacentral:misc_RNA from 1 species